GCCGAGGUGGCGGAACUGGCAGACGCGCUAGAUUCAGGAUCUAGUGGUGGCAACACCGUGCGGGUUCAAAUCCCGCCCUCGGCA
rnacentral:tRNA from 1 species